rnacentral:rRNA from 1 species
CCUACGGGGGGCAGCAGUGAGGAAUAUUGGUCAAUGGCCGGAAGGCUGAACCAGCCAAGCCGCGUGAAGGAAGAAGGUGCCAAGCAUUGUAAACUUCUUUUGUCAAGGGACAAAAUCAGGCUCGAGAGCCUGACCGAGGGUACUUGAAGAAAAAGCAUCGGCUAAAUCCGUGCCAGCAGCCGGGGUAAUACGGAGGAUGCGAGCGUUAUCCGGAUUUAUUGGGUUUAAAGGGUGCGUAGGCGGACUGUUAAGUCAGCGGUAACAGCACGGGGCUCAACCCCGGCGAGCCGUUGAAACUGGCUGUCGUGAGAGGGCGAGAGGUAUGCGGAAUGCGCAGUGUAGCGGUGAAAUGCGUAGAUAGUGCGCAGAACUCCGAUUGCGAAGGCAGCAUACCGGCGGCGAUCUGACGCUGAGGCACGAAAGCGUGGGUAUCGAACAGGAUUAGAUACCCUUGUAGUC